CAAUAGCGUAUAUUUAAGUUGUUGCAGUUAAAAAGCUCGUAGUUGGAUUUCGGAUGGGACUUGCCGGUCCGUCGUUUCGAUGUGCACUGGCCAGUCCUAUCUUGUUGUCGGGGACUAGCUCCUGGGCUUCACUGUCCGGGACUAGGAGCUGACGAGGUUACUUUGAGUAAAUUAGAGUGCUCAAAGCAAGCCUACGCUCUGAAUACAUUAGCAUGGAAUAACACGAUAGGACUCUGGCUUAUCUUGUUGGUCUGUGAGACCAGAGUAAUGAUUAAGAGGGACAGUCGGGGGCAUUCGUAUUUCAUUGUCAGAGGUGAAAUUCUUGGAUUUAUGAAAGACGAACUUCUGCGAAAGCAUUUGUCAAGGAUGUUUNCAUUAA
rnacentral:rRNA from 1 species